UACGUAGGGAGCAAGCGUUGUCCGGAAUCAUUGGGCGUAAAGCGCGCGUAGGGGGCCUCAUAAGUCCGCUGUGAAAGUCAAAGGCUCAACCUUUGAAAGCCGGUGGAUACUGUGAGGCUAGAGUACGGAAGAGGCGAGUGGAAUUCCUGGUGUAGCGGUGGAAUGCGCAGAUAUCAGGAGGAACACCAAUAGCGAAGGCAACUCGCUGGGACGUUACUGACACUGAGGCGCGAAAGCGUGGGGAGCGAACAGG
rnacentral:rRNA from 1 species